rnacentral:rRNA from 1 species
CCUACGGGCGGCAGCAGUGGGGAAUAUUGCACAAUGGGGGAAACCCUGAUGCAGCGACGCCGCGUGAGUGAAGAAGUAUUUCGGUACGUAAAGCUCUAUCAGCAGGGAAGAAAAUGACGGUACCUGACUAAGAAGCCCCGGCUAACUACGUGCCAGCAGCCGCGGUAAUACGUAGGGGGCAAGCGUUAUCCGGAUUUACUGGGUGUAAAGGGAGCGUAGACGGCAGCGCAAGUCUGGAGUGAAAUCCCAUGGCUUAACCAUGGAACUGCUUUGGAAACUGUGCAGCUAGAGUGCAGGAGAGGUAAGCGGAAUGCCUAGUGUAGCGGUGAAAUGCGUAGAUAUUAGGAGGAACACCAGUGGCGAAGGCGGCUUACUGGACUGUAACUGACGCUGAGGCGCGAAAGCGUGGGGAGCAAACAGGAUUAGAUACCCUUGUAGUC